GCUCCUUCAUUUCCCAUUUAUGCCGUUGGGCUCUUCUCCCCUCUUCUCUAUAGCCUCGAGCCCAGAGCCGUGUCUCAUUUAUCUCAGCCCUCUCUUCCUUUUCUCCCUCAUUUCUCGCAGGCCUCUCUCUAACCAAGGACUCGAACAUUUCCUACCUAGCUCUCUAGUCAUUCCAAAUCUUCCAAUGGUCCUGGAUUUGUCGAAUCCAAACACAGAUACCCAGCCGUGCCUCCAUAGCUGUAUCUCUAUUCAUUUCCAUCUCUGUCCAAAGCCGAACCCAGCCAUGGCGAUCAUUGAUUCCAGCCCAGAUUGUACCAUCCUGCAUUUUCUCUGCGAUUAUGGUCUCCACUUGGCGAUAUCUGAAAUUCUAACUCAUGCAUGUCCAACUCUGUGCCCAGGAAAACUCGAGUGACAAAGAGAACUUAAGCACCGAUUUGAGGGAGAAAAGUUUUGGCAGAGUCCACGAUUUUCAGAUCCAAAAGGAAGAAUGUAGCUUGCUGGAUGGACCUGCCCAGAUUCGCUUUAAAUUUUAUGGGCUGUGUAUGUGCACUGUCAUGUGAAUUUCCAGAUUUUGAUUUGUUAUGUACAACCCCUUGCAACACGUCAGUUAUGAUGAAUUCCGGCAGCUUGGUUGGUUUCUUUGCAGCCUCUUGAUCGGGCAUGGGUGGCAUAUAAACUUGGGUAGCAAUGGGUUUUGUGGAAAUUUCAGAAUCAGCAUGUGUUGUUUCCUUCGUUGGGUGUGAAUAACACAUGCCGAAUGCUCAAUUUCUGCACGAAUCUCCUCUUGAUCAUCAAAGCUUUUCCCAUAGCUUAAUGCUUGAAUCUGAAAUCCUUCAUUGGUUAUUUUUAUGUAUGACUGAGUUGAUUCCAACAAUUUAGAGAGCUUUUCCUCCACUAAAAGCUCUUGCAGCAUAUUAGACUGCUCAAAAUAGAGCUCAAGAUGCUUUUGCAAACUUGGCGUAUAGAACUCUGAAUAUGGAUUGUUCAUAUUUCCUUUUGAGUCGCUUAUCAUAUUGGUAUGC